GUGCUCUCUUUGGCAGAAUGUACAUUAAAAAUUGGAAUGAUACAGAGAUUACCAUGGCUCUUGCCCAAGGAUGACACACAAAUUCAUGAAACAUUUCAUAUUUAA
ensembl:snRNA U6 U6 spliceosomal RNA